rnacentral:rRNA from 1 species
AUGUGUUGUGAGGAGGAUAGGAGUGCAGUGGAAGAUGCAACGCUUGUUGGUGCGAGGAAAAAUUCUAUAACAAUGCGAGAGAGUAGUUGGGAACCUCCAGGACAGAAUGCGCUAAAGAUUAACAUUGAUGGAAGUAUGAAUGACGCCCUAGCAACAGGAGGAUGGGGUUUCAUUGUCCGUGACAGUCAAGGACAUGCGCUUGGGGUGGGCGCUGGAUACAUGCUGCACGUCCAAGACCCUCUACAUGUAGAAGCAAUGGCGUGUCUCGAGAGCUUGCAGGCUGCCCAGGCAUGGGGUAUAUCAGAAGUCCACGUUGAAACAGAUGCAUCCCAGCUUGUGCAAGCGCUUCGGUCGACCAAAAUAUGGCGAUAA